rnacentral:lncRNA from 1 species
GCAGCGCCAUGUCCACGCCCAGGAUUCGAACCAGCGAAACUCUGGGCCGCCUGCAGCGGAGCGCUCGAACUUAACCACUCGGCCCCGGGGCCAGCCCCCAGCGGCUCCCUUCUUUUGCUUACACAGGCUCUUGCGGCUCGUGUGGCCAUUGCUCACCCUGGAGAGACCACUGCUGAUGGCCUCCAGACUGGGUUCUCUUUUUCUCUGGUAAACAUCAGGAAGUCAGAGUUUCUAUCUGGUAUCUCUCACGAGCAGUCCGCCUCUGAAAAGUGCUUCAGCACGGCUCCCGGCUCAGCUGUGGCCUGGCCCUCCUCGCCUAUCCGCCACUGCCUGGUGCUCCACUUCCUGUGGGAAGAUGGCGCCUCUCCUCAGGCACAAGGAGGAAAGUGGAUCCCGUCGUCCUCCAAGAGACCAACCCUCAACGUUGUCCACGUAUAUCAGACUUUACUGAAGGAUUUGGAAGAAACUCAAGGGAAUUCUCCCAGGAAAUUGAACCCUUCCCAAAGCUCUCGCCAACUCCUAAUGGGGAUCUCUCGCUCAACUCAUAUCCCCACUGCCUUCUGUCCAAAAUACUCAGGCCCUCUACCCGUAGGAAUUCAUCUUACUCCAGUAUCCCCUGCCCUCUACUUGCUGGACAUUUUCCAGAGUCUGAAUCUGGAGCCGCACCUCCAAGAGUAUGAGGAUAUGAAGAGAAAAAAGAGAAAAGGAACGUUUGUGAAAAUUCUAUAAAGAUGUCUUUCCACACUAUAUACGGGUUACAAGGAGGCAAGGGAGCACGAGAGGUCCCACACAUGUUCCUCCCUGCCGCCAUUGUGUGAAAGCAGCCCUGACUCCUGAUGCUA